rnacentral:rRNA from 1 species
AUUGAACGCUGGCGGCAGGCCUAACACAUGCAAGUCGAGCGGAUGAAGGGAGCUUGCUCCUGGAUUCAGCGGCGGACGGGUGAGUAAUGCCUAGGAAUCUGCCUGGUAGUGGGGGAUAACGUCCGGAAACGGGCGCUAAUACCGCAUACGUCCUGAGGGAGAAAGUGGGGGAUCUUCGGACCUCACGCUAUCAGAUGAGCCUAGGUCGGAUUAGCUAGUUGGUGGGGUAAAGGCCUACCAAGGCGACGAUCCGUAACCGACCUGAGAGGAUGAUCAGUCACACUGGAAAUUAGACACAGUCCAGACUCCUACGGGAGGCAGCAGUAGGGAAGCUUGCGCAAUGGGCGAAAGCUGGACGGAGCAACGCCGCGUGAGGGAUGAAGGUCUUCGGAUCGUAAAACUCUGUUAUUAGGGAAGAAAAAAUGUGUAAGUAACUAUGCACGUCUUGACGGUACCUAAUCAGAAAGCCACGGCUAACUACGUG